rnacentral:misc_RNA from 1 species
UUGCUGGUCGAGAGCGGGCAUGACAAU